rnacentral:rRNA from 1 species
CCUACGGGUGGCAGCAGUGAGGAAUUUUGCGCAAUGGCCGCAAGGCUGACGCAGCAACGCCGCGUGGGUGAUGAAGGCCUUCGGGUCGUAAAGCCCUGUCAGGUGGGAAGAAAGGUUUCAAGGAGCAACACUUGGGAUUUGACGGUACCACCAGAGGAAGCACCGGCUAACUCCGUGCCAGCAGCCGCGGUAAUACGGAGGGUGCGAGCGUUAUUCGGAAUUAGUGGGCGUAACGAGCGUGAUGUGAAGGCCCUGGGCUUAACCUGGGAAGGGCAUUGGAAACUGUUUUUCGUGAGUACUGGAGAGGAAGGGGGAAUUCCCGGUGUAGAGGUGAAAUUCGUAGAGAUCGGGAGGAAUACCAGUGGCGUAGGCGCCCUUCUGGACGGUAACUGACGCUGAGACGCGAAAGCGUGGGGAGCAAACAGGAUUAGAUACCACGGUAGUC